GUUGACAAUUGUUGGGUGAAAUGUAUAGAAUAAAUAAUGUGAUAGAUAGUGAAAAAAGUGAAAGGAUUUAUAAUUGGAAAGAUUACAAGAAUUGAAGAGUGAAAUUAAAUUAUAUUGAGAUUUAAAGAGUUGAUUUCAGAAACUGAAAGGAGAUUGAAAGAAAGGGAAAGAUUGAAAGAAGUAGUCAAAGAAGAAACUAUUCAUUUUUGAGCCGUUAAAUUAAAAAUAUACGAGCUGCAAAAAAGUAGUUUGGAAUCGACCCUAACUCCUGAAAAUCGCGCCAACA